rnacentral:tRNA from 1 species
GCCUGGGUGGCUCAGUCGGUUGAGCAUCCGACUUUGGCUCAGGUCAUGAUCUCACAGUCUGUGGGUUUGAGCCCUGCAUCAGGCU